rnacentral:misc_RNA from 1 species
GGCUUUGAGCUUUUGUUGCCGCCAAGUGCGAGUUUAGUAGCGAAUUUCGAACGGUCGCGUCUCGAGAAAUUUGUCCGACGUUUUCUCACCCAUUUAUGCAUGCAGAUGGCGCAUAAAACUUCGAGAAUUGGCUCUGCUGCGGAGUUGGAAUUUUGUACGCAAUCGAAAUCGAAAUUAUCUCAUCAAUAUUCUCAGGCAUCGGGAGAUAGGAAUAUAUUCGUAUCGCCUUUGGUAAAUAUUCAAUAAUACACUUAUAUACAAGUAUACUAUCUAUAUACACUGAAUACAUAUAUCAAUAUGAGGGUAUAUAGAUAUGUUUAAAAAAUCAAUUAUUAAUUGUUAUCUUUAUUGCUUCGUUGUUUUAUGUAACAUUUACGGUUUUCUUUAUUUUGUAAUAAAGGCAUCGAACUUGGACAAAGGAAAUUCAUUCGUUUCCCAGGACUUUCAAAGCAGCUAUCCAUACACAUGCUAUUCACAAGCUGAUUUAGCCGCUCGACGCAAAAUGGCCACAAGAGAAGGUACUUCUAUACUUAAACGAUGGCUGUAUGACCACCUGAAGAAUCCAUAUCCGACAAAAGGAGAGAAAAUAAUGUUGGCCAUUAUCACAAAGAUGAGCUUGACUCAAGUGUCCACUUGGUUCGCUAAUGCACGACGGCGCCUAAAGAAAGAAAAUAAAAUGACAUGGUCGCCAAAGAAUAGAACUGACGAAGAUGGAGAAGAAGAAGAGGAGGAGGAGGAAGAUGAAACUAAUGAUUCCAAAAAAAAUGAUGAUGAUGAUGAAGAAAUUGAUGUUACAGGAAACUUGGACGAGGACGCUUUAUCUGAUGUUGAUAAUGCCGCAUCAAAGCAAGUAGAAGCUCCUUUAAUAGCCGAGGAUAGUAGAGGAGAGAAAAAAGGGAAAAUUUGGUCUCUAGCCGAUACGGCAACUUGCCAAGAAAAUGAAGAAGAGAAGAGGAAACGCCGGGAAGAGCGACGCCGUUUCUCCACCUUCCCUUCCUUCCUCAAUUAUUCUCCAUAUUUAGGAUAUGUUUCCAUACCAACGCCAUCUACAGCUUUUGUCACUUUAAGAUAGUGUUGAUAAUCUUUUGUUAAUGUGCUUAAAAUCGUGUAUAUAUGGAUACGUAUGUAUACAAUUGGGAUGUGUAGUAUAAAUCUGUAUAUACUGUAUAUCUGUAUAUAUACGAUAUAUAUCUGUAAAUGCAUGUACAAAGAGGCCGCGUCUAGUCGAGUUUGUGAUAUAAACGCGCUCAAGUUGUAUAUUCGUU